rnacentral:lncRNA from 1 species
AAGACGUGUCGCGAAAUUAACAUCGAUAAAGUCUUUGUAAACGGAAAUAAAAGGAAGUCUACUUCAACUUAUCCCACGAAAAACGUAUUGAGAUGAGCAUAGUAGAUUGCAAUCAAAAAGUAUCAAAAGAUAACAGCGAGAUUAAAACUAAACAAGUCGAGAGUUAACUGUUUAUCUGGCAAUGUUUUGAGUAUUGAAAGACAAAGAAACUGAAACUGGAAAACAUAUGGAAAAUAUUAGACUUUUAUCGAUACUUCUUUUUCAAAAAGAAAAUAUCUGCAUGUACAAAAGCAGUAUACUACCAAAAGGUCUCCUCCGCAAUAGCUGAAGAAAGUUAUUUUUCAUGAUGAUAUGUCGUGACUUUUCUUAAGUAUCUGAAACACUCGUGCAGCCAAAUUGAUGCCAGUUUGCCCCAAUAUAGCUUAAAUGUUAGUCAUAAAUCAUUUCUAGACUCUACAAAAUAAAGAUAGCAACAUUUACCAUAACAAACGAAGCUAAGUAAUUUUCUUGUAGAAAAAAAGGCCAUACUAGUGUACUUAAAUCAGGUUACAGAGAGUCCGACUUUUCCAAAAAAGGUGUUCUUCCGCAUUUACCCCUCAACAAAAAUAAUAUAUUUGCGUGUUCUGAAUAAACUUAAUCUAAUGCUGAUGGACGUUGUAAUGUCUAUGCCUGGACUAAAAGUUCUUCCAAGGGCAAUAAACAAUUGAGAACCUCUUGGUCACGAAAUGUUGACAAUGAAAAGCUGUUACACAGUCAUGUGUUACAGUUGACAGCAAUUUGAUGUAUCUUUUUCUUUAGAAACAGUGUUACGUAGGUAACUAGCGUAACACAAAUACACACAUAGAAAAACUUCGUCAUAAGUUUUCCAUUUUGUUCCAACAGAGACAUCAUAUCCGCGCCGUUGUGGAAUUAUUAAUAAAAUAACGCCGAUAGGCAGAAGACCAAGAUCCAUUCAAGAUAUAACUCUCAGAUAGAGCUAAACACGGAAACUCCAGUCCUUUAAAAGAAGAUAUUACAUAAAUAUGGGCUUUCAUGACCUCGAGAUACUGCAAAACACGUGCGAGGAAAUUGGUGAGAGCCAUUCUCAUGAAAUGCAAGCAAGAUGUCAGCAGGUUGCAGCUGAACUUCGAAUCAUUGGAGACGCCUUAGAUAGGAGUUACUUCCAAGACACUUCAAGCAACAGUCGCCGACGGUUUUUCAUCGGUGCCGUAAUGCUGGGAAUCGCAACCAACAUUGCGGUACAUUACUUUGCCAGGAUAUUUGCUCGUAACACUGAUUAGCCCUACGAGAUGAAACACUGUGAAAAUUCGGGCUACGGUUAGCUUCCUCUCCGAGAUGAAAACGUCUCUCAGUUCAGCUUCGAGACUAAUUGGAACGUUUCUCGAGAAAAUACUUCUUCAAAUGAUGUAGGGAAUGUAUUGAAAGACUGUUACUGAUGUUUUAAUGUUUAAUAUUAAAUCAUUAGCCUUAAACUUCUGAGACAGGAGAACAAGAGAGAAAGCCUUCGAGGAGAACACCAUUCAUUCGUUUACGAAGAAGCAAUUUUUCAUGGAGGUAAAUUUUUUUAAUGUAUCUUGACUCAAACAUUUUUAAACAAAAUAUAUUCGCAAUAAGUUGGAUCAAGAAAAUGUCAUAAAACGUUUUGUUGGUUAAUGUGAUGUGUGAUGCAGAGUGCAUUGUUCCGCGACACCAGAAGGUUUCUUUUAGGUACUACAUCCAAAAUUUUACACAAAUAUUUUGUAAAUUUAUCCAAUGGGUGCAUGCAUGGAUCUCGAAUUAUUGCUAUGUACAAUUUAGUUUGAAAUGGCUGGUUUUGCAUUGAAUAAGACCUCGGACAUAUUAUUUUAUUGACCAUUAUAUGUUACGUAAAAUGUUCUCGCCAAUAAUCCCAUAUAUAUAUACAAAAGAACUGAACGUAGUUGUUUGUUUGUAGCAACAUUUAUCGAACGCGUCAAUUAGAACGUGAGAAAUGGUGCUUAUGACAAGAAAGGAACAUCCCUAACUUAUCUGAAUUUGUUUUUAUGUACAGGGAACAACCUUCAGAAACAAAAGAUAAUAAAACUGCAUUAUACGUUGUUAUUUAGUGCAAACGAGUAAACCUCUUAUCUAAUUCCACCAAAAGUACCUCAUUUGCAAUGCAAGUUUUUCGUGAAUAUUUUGUGAGGUCUCUAAAAGGGUCCUACCUUUGUUUCAGCAAACAAUUAUUUUUAGACAUAUUGCAUCUGGGAAAAAAAUUUAAAUUAACAUAUUUUUAAAGGACACCUCGAUGGCUGCAAUAGAAAAGCCUCAGGCUGAAUUGAUCAAUGCAGGGUGUUGGACAGUAGGAACAUAAGAAAACUCGGGUAGCAACAACGACGAGAAAAUGGUAAAGAAAAAAGCUUGAUGAGCAAAAGAACUGCCUGGCUCAAAUGUACGAAUUUUCUUUGAUUUGCUUGCCAUUCUUGUUAACUAAUGCAUUUAUAUGAAGGGGAACUAAACAGUCAACAAUGGCAUCGUUGGAAAAAUUAGUAUUUCCUAUUCAGAAUGCAGGCCUCCUCUUUACAGAGCAUGCUCUACACAGUCCUGAUGUUGAUACAAAAAACUAAAGGUGACAGUCAAAGAAAACAAUUCAUAGCAUCUUUGUUAAUGGCGUCGUCGUUAACAUUGGAAUAAUCAAUUUUUAAGGUCCCAAUUGCAUUGCGAAACUGUUUGCUGGCCUGUUCUGUUGUUUAGAUGGGGACCGUAACGAUUAACAGGGCGACGACGGAAACGAAAAUUUUUCGGAACAAUAGGGUUUACUGAGCAAAACAAUGGCUUUGCUAGUGCGUUCUAAAACUAAGCAUGUUUGUUGACCGUCCCGUACAUCAAAAACUGAACAAAUCCCUCAGAACAGAGGCCUUGACAAACCAAUUUGUCUUGUUUUCAUUUCUAUGAUCACUUCCUUAAUAUGGAUGGGUCUGACGAUUUUAGACACAAUAAACACGUCUGGCUGUCGGAAAAUGUAAGCAUUAUCUUUUUUGGCACAGGUAGAAAGACUUGAGGUUCAAAAUAUACGUACGGAAUGUUAUGGAAAACAGUAACAUAUAACUCAACUUGUAAGAUACUUGUAACUUUAUAAAUUAAUCACUUUUAUAAGGGAAAAUAUGAUUUUCAAAACGUUAAAUUAAAAAAAAAAUUUAUACACAAAUAGAAAUCAAUCACCAGUGUGUUUGAUUUGAUAAUUGAGUCAGUUCUUCAUCUUUUUCUUCUCGUUCACUUCUAACACGUAAUGAAUAUUUUGAGUUUUGUCAGGAACGAUCGUUUGUCGUAAGUAUCCAGAAAAAACACCCUAACUUAUGAUUUACUGAGAGCUAUACCAUCAUUA